UAGGGAAUCUUCCACAAUGGGGGCAACCCUGAUGGAGCAACGCCGCGUGAGUGAGGAAGGCUUUCGGGUCGUAAAGCUCUGUUGCCAGGGAAGAACGCUUCGGGGAGUAACUGCCCCGGAGGUGACGGUACCUGAGAAGAAAGCCCCGGCUAACUACGUGCCAGCAGCCGCGGUAAUACGUAGGGGGCAAGCGUUGUCCGGAAUUAUUGGGCGUAAAGCGCGCGCAGGCGGUCUUUUAAGUCUGGUGUCUAAGUGCGGGGCUCAACCCCGUGAUGCACUGGAAACUGGGAGACUUGAGUGCAGAAGAGGAGAGCGGAAUUCCACGUGUAGCGGUGAAAUGCGUAGAGAUGUGGAGGAACACCAGUGGCGAAGGCGGCUCUCUGGCCUGUAACUGACGCUGAGGCGCGAAAGCGUGGGGAGCAAACA
rnacentral:rRNA from 1 species